rnacentral:rRNA from 1 species
ACGCUGGCGGCAGGCUUAACACAUGCAAGUCGAACGAAGUUAGGAAGCUUGCUUCUGAUACUUAGUGGCGGACGGGUGAGUAAUGCUUAGGAAUCUGCCUAGUAGUGGGGGAUAACUUGGGGAAACCCAAGCUAAUACCGCAUACGACCUACGGGUGAAAGGGGGCUUUUAGCUCUCGCUAUUAGAUGAGCCUAAGUCGGAUUAGCUGGUUGGUGGGGUAAAGGCCUACCAAGGCGACGAUCUGUAGCUGGUCUGAGAGGAUGAUCAGCCACACUGGGACUGAGACACGGCCCAGACUCCUACGGGAGGCAGCAGUGGGAAUAUUGGACAAUGGGCGAAAGCCUGAUCCAGCCAUGCCGCGUGUGUGAAGAAGGCCUUUUGGUUGUAAAGCACUUUAAGUGGGGAGGAAAAGCUUAUGGUUAAUACCCAUAAGCCCUGACGUUACCCACAGAAUAAGCACCGGCUAACUCUGUGCCAGCAGCCGCGGUAAUACAGAGGGUGCAAGCGUUAAUCGGAAUUACUGGGCGUAAAGCGCGCGUAGGUGGUUAUUUAAGUCAGAUGUGAAAGCCCCGGGCUUAACCUGGGAACUGCAUCUGAUACUGGAUAACUAGAGUAGGUGAGAGGGGAGUAGAAUUCCAGGUGUAGCGGUGAAAUGCUUAGAGAUCUGGAGGAAUACCGAUGGCGAAGGCAGCUCCCUGGCAUCAUACUGACACUGAGGUGCGAAAGCGUGGGUAGCAAACAGGAUUAGAUACCCUGGUAGUCCACGCCGUAAACGAUGUCUACCAGUCGUUGGGUCUUUUAAAGACUUAGUGACGCAGUUAACGCAAUAAGUAGACCGCCUGGGGAGUACGGCCGCAAGGUUAAAACUCAAAUGAAUUGACGGGGGCCCGCACAAGCGGUGGAGCAUGUG